UACGAAGGGGGCUAGCGUUGCUCGGAAUCACUGGGCGUAAAGCGCACGUAGGCGGACUCUUAAGUCGGUGGUGAAAUCCUGGAGCUCAACUCCAGAACUGCCUUCGAUACUGGGAGUCUAGAGUCCGGGAGAGGAGAGUGGAAUUCCUGGUGUAGCGGUGAAAUGCGCAGAUAUCAGGAAGAACACCCGUGGCGAAAGCGGCUCUCUGGAACGGUACUGACGCUGAGACGCGAAAGCGUGGGGAGCGAACAGG
rnacentral:rRNA from 1 species